rnacentral:rRNA from 1 species
GUCCAUGGCCAUAUGACCCUGAACACACCUGAUCUUAUCUGAUCUGGGAAGCUAAGCAGGGUUGGGCAUGGUUAGUACUUGGAUGGGAGAACUUCUUGAGCUAUUUGCA